UGUAGCUCAAGAAAAAGUAAUAGUGUGCUCUCCUUUUAUGACCGUUUUCUAUGCUAUGGUUUCGCCAAGGAAUGUCUGACUGGCGAAUCAUUAAAAUGAAUGGUUUUAAGGGAGAGUUAUACUCCGUUAUUGAAUAUUCCUUACCAAACAUAUACAUCAACGGAUAAUAAUGACCUUUCUAUAAGGAGUAAAAUCAAGUGUAAACACGGAUUCAUGUAAAGGUGACGUUUAAGACGCACAAUCAUUGCAUAUUUAAAGAAAGGGAGACAUCAGUCAUGCUUUUUUUCUUUGAUUUUCCUUGGGAUGAAUCGCGCUGCCCACAUUAUACGUCAUUUGUUUACACUGCAGGCUACUAAGUUAUGUUAUUACCAACAAGUUAUUGCGGUUAUUUUCAAAUACAAGUCUUCAAGUGGAGGAAUGUGGGUGGAAGAGGACUGCUGGCUGGCGUGACUGCGUGAGGGCAGGCAGACGCCGGGACAGCAGGGAGAGGCUGGCAAUGCAGGUGUUGCCGACCUCAGCAAAAUA